AUUGAACGCUGGCGGCAGGCCUAACACAUGCAAGUCGAACGAGUCGCGGAAGGGUGAGUAAUGUCUGGGAAACUGCCUGAUGGAGGGGGUUAACUACCGGAUGCGGUAGCUAAUACCGCAUACCCUAAGAUGUGCCAGGAUGGGAUUGGUUAGUUGGUGCGGUAACGGAUCACCAAGGCGACGAUCCCUAACUGGUCGGAGAGGAUGACCAGCCACACUGGAACUGAGACACGGUCCAGACGCCUACGGGAGGCAGCAGUGGGGAAUAUUGCACAAUGGGCGCAAGCCUGAUGCAGCCAUGCCGCGUGUGUGAAGAAGGUCUUCGGAUUGUAAAGUACUUUCAGUGGGGAGGCGUUACCCACAGAAUAAGCACCGGCUAACUCCGUGCCAGCAGCCGCGGUAAUUC
rnacentral:rRNA from 1 species